AUUGAACGCUGGCGGCAGGCCUAACACAUGCAAGUCGAGCGGAUGAAGGGAGCUUGCUCCUGGAUUCAGCGGCGGACGGGUGAGUAAUGCCUAGGAAUCUGCCUGGUAGUGGGGGAUAACGUCCGGAAACGGGCGCUAAUACCGCAUACGUCCUGAGGGAGAAAUUGGGGGAUCUUCGGACCUCACGCUAUCCGAUGAGCCUAGGUCGGAUUAGCUAGUUGGUGGGGUAAAGGCCUACCAAGGCGACGAUCCGUAACUGGUCUGAGAGGAUGAUCAGUCACACUGGAACUGAGACACGGUACAGACUCCUACGGGAGGCAGCAGUGGGGAAUAUUGGACAAAGGGCGAAAGCCUGAUCCAGCCAUGCCGCGUGUGUGAAGAAGGUCUUCGGAUUGUAAAGCACUUUAAGUUGGGAGGAAGGGCAGUAAGUUAAUACCUUGCUGUUUUGACGUUACCAACAGAAUAAGCACCGGCUAACUUCGUG
rnacentral:rRNA from 1 species